CCGUCCACCGAUUCCCGGAUUAGGCCUAGGCCGUUUAGAGGAUACUGUGCUCGUCGGAUGGGUUGGAAACGACGUCUGGGAAUAUUAACGCCACUAGACGGAAAUCGGUGACCGAUUUUUACCGGUGUCGCGUGGGUCAUUCAAUUUGCAUACCUGAUAACGUUUGUGGAACUGGAGGUUUUGGGAGCUGGGUGCUGCGAGGUUCGAGGUGGUUUGCUUGUAGCUUUAGAUGGAUUGACUUUUUGGUCGGACUUUGUUAGAUGUCUUACACGCCUACUUUGUUAUUAAUAAUUCAUUGAAGAAAGAGAAAAAUCCUAGACAUUUCCUAUGUCUGUGUUUGCUUUAAGGAUUCAUCGUUGUAAUAUGAAGAUUGUUAAUUAAUAUAAAUGUCACGCUUUGUCCAGGUGUUGUUCUUGGAAGUAGAAGAAAUCUCCAGACACUCAAAUUAAGUAACAUAUGUUUGCUAACCGUGUAUCUCCGGGAUGAUUCUAACUAAUGUCUCGUCUACGUGGCCGCAUUACUCGGGAGAAACAAGUUUUAAAAUAAAUUAGCAAUGUUACAAUAUAUUGCAAAGGCGUGAGUAAUAACUUGAGAUACACAACACUUUUAUCGUCGCUGGAGCUGCAAAAGGGUCACGUAAAAAAUGAAGAGCACUGAAAAAUGUGAUGGAACUGCAAUAUGUAAUUAGAGAUGGACCCAAAACAAUAUAGAAAUGGCGGGGGAAAAAAGAGCAGAGGAGGAAGCAGCUCGGCUGGAAUAAUUAUGAGAACUACGCUGGAAUAUUUUCCAUUACCCAAUGGACUGGCGCGAGAAUGGAUGAAAUAUUGUUGACGCUGUCAGAGAGAAUAUAAAUACUACUUCAAAUUCGCGGCCGUGAAAGUAAACUUCACAGAUUGACAAUGGUGCGAGCUUUAAAUAUUCAGGUUGACUGUUGCUGUUUGGAGAGCAAAAGCUGUACCGUUCUUUUUUCGGCAACAACGCACCGAGUUAUAUGUAGAUCAUAUUCGUCCGUCGAUUUACGAUAAUAUUUAAUAUUAUUUCGGAAAGUAUUCGAAAUACAGUCGCAUCUCAGAUUCUUAUCGAGUAUACCUAAUAAGCAGCUUCAUGUGCAAGCUUAUAAGGUAUCUAAUCUUAUCUCUCAAGGCUUAAGUGGCAAAUUAACCGCACCUUCGUCUUAAAUUAUACGUCAGAGUAAUCUCUAGUUGUGCGUCAAUAAUUUUAAAUUACAAUUUCUUGGAAUAUCGUGUAAUACACUUUUCA